UGAUGUUACAGGAUGCUGCCAUUGAUGUCUUGCGCUUUUCUCUCUUGUGUUGGUACGGAAACUGGUACAGAAUCGUGACCUAAAGACGUGUAUGCGUAGCUUAGUGUUAACGCUGAGUCGAACCCCUGGGGGGGCGUGAGCCUACGGAAAGUGCAGCAGAGAGUAGACCGCCUAAGCAGGUCUUUCGAGAUUUGCCGGUAAGGGUGAAAGGGUGCGGUAAGAGCGCACCGCGUGGGUGGUAACAUUCCACGGCAUGGUAAACCCCACUUGGAGCAAGACCAAAUAGGAAUCCUUUUCGUGGCCCACGUUGGAUUCGGGUAGGUUGCUUGAGGUCUGUGGUGACGCAGACCCUAGAUGAAUGACUGUCCACGACAGAACCCGGCUUACAGGUGGGCUCGAUUA
rnacentral:ncRNA from 2 species